CGGUGGGGGGGGGGCCUACACAAUGCAAGUCGAACGAGGUAGCAUACCUAGUGGCAGACGGGUGAGUUCACGUACCCUUUCUACCUUUUAGUGGGGGAUAACUAGCCGAAAGGUUAGCUUAUACCGCAUACGAUCUUUGAGUGGCAUCACUUGAAGCUGAAAGCAGCAAUGCGCUAAGAGACGGGACUGCGUCCCAUUAGCUAGUUGGUGGGGUAAUGGCCUACCAAGGCUCCGAUGGGUAGCUGGCUUGAGAGAGCGACCAGCCACACUGGAACUGAGACACGGUCCAGACUCCUACGGGAGGCAGCAGUGAGGAAUUUUCCGCAAUGUGGGCAACCCUGACGGAGCGACGCCGCGUGUGGGAAGAAGGACUUCGGGUCGUCCACUCACUGUCAAAGGGGACGAUAUUGACGGUUCCAUUGCAGGAAGACCCGGCUAACUACCGUGCCAGGCGCCUCGGGCAGCGGGUUGCGGGGAUGGGUAGAUCCGGACAACUUGGCGGUCGAGCGCCACCACGGCCGAUCAUUUACCGCCCUGAGUAGAAGAAAGGUUGGGCUCAGCUGUGCGACUACGCAGUGCCUACCAACUGAUAUUGUCAGGAUGGAAAAUGGAGGGUGGUCAGUCACGGGGUGGGUAGGAUUGAUGCGAAUAAAUCGGAAGAAAUAUUGCUAUCGGGUGAUGUGCGACCGCCGCGAACGAUAGCCGUAAUUAAUCAGGCUCACGUAGAGGUGUACGAUUUUAGACAUUUGCUUAAAUUGGCGUGUAUAUUUAUCGCUUAUUUCAUCUGCGUUCCUGAGCUUCAUGCCGAGAGUCAACUGCUCUCCCUGCCGAGCGCUACAUAUAUAUACCGAUUCAAAAUAUCAGUACAUGACUGAUAAUGCUGCUGCAUUGUAUCCUCCGUAUCAGUUUGAGUAUAUCAUAGUGAGCAUGGAUAGACUUCUGACCGGGAUUGAUAACUCGGUACUUUACUGUUACGAUAUUAUUACUCCUCCUUAUCUCAAGCUCCUCUUCUUCGUCGUAAUCCGAUGCACCUCUCACGUCUCUUUUGACUCUA
rnacentral:rRNA from 1 species